rnacentral:rRNA from 1 species
AUACGAAGGGGGCUAGCGUUGUUCGGAAUCACUGGGCGUAAAGGGCGCGUAGGCGGGUCUUUAAGUCGGGGGUGAAAGCCUGUGGCUCAACCACAGAAUGGCCUUCGAUACUGGGGACCUUGAGACCGGAAGAGGUGAGUGGAACUGCGAGUGUAGAGGUGAAAUUCGUAGAUAUUCGCAAGAACACCAGUGGCGAAGGCGGCUCACUGGUCCGGUUCUGACGCUGAGGCGCGAAAGCGUGGGGAGCAAACA